CGGAAAACACUGGGGUCCGGAAGCCGGUCCUGCCAACAGUGUCGGAAUUCGAAUCCGGAAGCGCCUACGCGAAGCUCAAGUUGCGAGGAGUCCAGAAGUACAAGAGUUUUGGCCGGAAAGUGGCCGGAAGGCGGCGGAUUGGGGCCGGAAAGUCGCUGCUCACGCGACACUUCCCAUGGCUGCCGGCAAGGAUUUUCCAACGAAGGAGGGUGGCUUCCGGGGUUUUCUGGGGUGGGGAGUCCGAUCCCGGCGUCUGAUCGCCGAAAACAAGCCGGCAAGAGGCCGAACGGCGAAGACAGCUCCCUACCUUCGGCCAACGUCGGCGGUAGCGGAGAGGAAAGACGCUGGCGAUAGCAGCGGCAGCUUGGCGGCUCGCCGGCGACGGAAACGUGAGGCAACGGUGGCUGCCGGAGGGAGAAGGAAAAAGAGGAGAAGUAGAGGGGAAGGGGAGGGAAAAGAGAGAGAGGGAGGAGAAAAACGAUUUUUGUAUAUAUAAAUAUUUAGUAAGGGUGUUACAUUCUACCCCCCUUAGAAAAAAAAUUCGACCUCGAAUUUUAAACCAUGGCCUACUUAGGAUUGAAAUAAAUGAGGGUAGAGACUUCUCAUUUCCUGCUCAGUUUCCCAGGUACACUCUUCAAACAAAUGAUUCCGCCACAAAACUUUGACCAUCGAAAUAAUUUUAGAGCGCAGCUGGCGAACUUGAGUAUCCACGAUCCUGACUGGCUGCUCCUCGAAAGUCAAAUCUUCACCAACUUCCACAUUUUGUGGUUGAAACACAUGCGAAGGGUCUGAAAUAUACUUUCUUAACAUCGAUAUGUGGAAUACCGGAUGCACAUGCGAGAAGUUCACCGGCAAGUCCAGCUUGUAUGCCACAUCUCCAAUUCUGUUAAUAACCUCAAAGGGUCCCACAUAACGAGGUGCCAAUUUGCCCUUCUUGCCGAACCGCAACACACCACGCAUAGGAGACACCUUCAAGAAUACAUAUUCCCCAACACUGAAUUCCACGUGCUUCCGCUUUGGAUCCGCAUAACUUUUCUGCCUACUAAAAGCUGUCUUCAGUCGCUCGCGAAUAACCGGAAUCUUUUCUGAAGUGAUCUGAACCAAUUCUGAUCCUGCUAACUUCCGUUCACCAACUUCUUCCCAACAUACGGGGGAUCUACACUUCCGACCAUACAAGGCCUCGAAAGGUGCCAUUUUGAUACUUGCAUGAUAGCUGUUAUUAUACGCGAAUUCGACCAACGGUAGAUACCAAUCCCAUUGACCACCAAAGUCUAUCACGCACAUCCGAAGCAUAUCCUCUAAGGUCUGAAUAGUCCUUUCUGAUUGUCCGUCCGUCUGAGGAUGGAAGGCCAUAUUGAAGUCCAACCUGGUACCAAGUUCCUCUUGUAACUUUUUCCAAAACCUUGAAGUAAAUUGCGGCCCCCUAUCAGACACUAUGGAAACCGGGACGCCGUGAAGACUGACAAUCCUUUCCAGAUACACUCUUGCAUACUUAGCUACAGAGUAGGUAGUCUUUACAGGAAGAAAAUGCGCUGACUUAGUCAAUCGAUCCACAAUUACCCAGAUGGAGUCAUAACCAGCAAAAGUCAAAGGUAAACCUGAUACAAAAUCCAUAGUAAUCCUUUCCCAUUUCCACUCUAGUAUAGGAAGCGGCUGCAGUAAAUCAGACGGCUUCUUAUGCUCUAAUUUAACCUGCUGACACGUCAGACAUUUGGAGACAAACUCUGCUACAUCUCUCUUCAUCCCGCUCCACCAAUAAUUUCCUUUUAAAUCAUGGUACAUCUUUGUGGAGCCCGGAUGCACGCUGUAAGUUGUACAGUGAGCUUCUUCUAAAAUCUCCUUCCUGAGAUUAUCCACAUCGGGAACACACAGCCUAGAGCCCAUCAUGAGGGUGCCAUCAUCAUUUAUAACAAAGUUAUUAGCUCGACCCUGCUGCACAUCUUCCAAGAUUUUCUGCAACUGUGGGUCCCGAUUCUGAGCCAUCCUGAUUCUGUCCACAAGCACAGACCUAAUCCAGAAAUGUGCUAAUAAUGCACCCGAUUCUAAUAUCUCCACCUGUAACCCUUGAUCAUACAGUUCAUGCAACUCUCUAACCAGCGGUCUCUUCUCUACACUGACAUGAGCAAGACUACCUACCGACUUCCUGCUCAAAGCAUCAGCCACAACAUUCGCAUUACCCGGGUGGUAGAGAAUAUUACAAUCAUAGUCCUUCAGAAGCUCUAACCACCUUCUCUGCCUUAGGUUCAAAUCUUUCUGUUGAAAAAUAUACUUUAAGCUUUUAUGAUCCGUAUAAAUCUCGCACGUCUCUCCAUAGAGAUAGUGCCUCCAAAUCUUUAAUGCAAAAAUUACUGCUGCCAUCUCCAAAUCGUGGGUCGGGUAAUUUUGUUCAUGCUUCUUCAAUUGCCUAGACGCAUAAGCUAUUACCUUUCCAUUUUGCAUCAGAACACAACCCAAACCCACUCUAGAAGCGUCGCAAUACACCGUGAAUCCACCAAUCCCAGAAGGUAAGGUCAACACCGGAGCUGAAGUCAAACAGUCCUUCAACUUUUGAAAGCUUCUCUCACACGCGUCAGUCCACUGAAACCUGACAUUUUUUUGAGUCAACUUAGUCAAAGGCGCUGCUAUCCUCGAAAAGUCUUGCACAAAUCGACGGUAGUAGCCUGCCAACCCUAGAAAGCUACGCACUUCAGUCACUGAAGUUGGCCUUUGCCAAUCAGUCACUGCCUCCACUUUCUUAGGGUCCACCUGAAUACCCUCUUUAGACACUAUGUGCCCCAGAAAAGUAACGCUUUCCAACCAGAACUCACACUUGGAGAACUUAGCGUACAAUUGAUGUUCCCUCAAAGUCUGAAGUACUAUCCUCAAGUGCCACGCGUGCUCCUCUUCGCUUUUGGAAUAAACCAAGAUAUCAUCAAUGAAUACGAUGACAAAACGAUCCAGAAAUUCCUUGAACACUCGAUUCAUCAAAUCAUCAAAUCCAUGAAAGCCGCAGGGGCAUUAGUGAGUCCAAACGACAUCACCAGAAACUCAUAAAGCCCAUAACGCGUCCUGAACGCCGUCUUUGGCACGUCUUCACCAUGGAUCCUCAACUGGUGAUACCCCGAUCACAAAUCAAUCUUGGAGAAAUACACAGCUCCCUGAAGCUGAUCGAAUAGGUCAUCGAUGCGAGGAAGCGGAUACCGGUUACGAAUCGUCGCCUUAUUUAGUUGCCGGUAAUCGAUGCAAAGACGCAAGGUACCAUCCUUCUUCUUUACGAACAGAACAGGAGCACCCCAAGGAGACGUACUAGGUCUAAUGAAACCCUUAUCUAGGAGGUCUUGCAACUGCUCCUUUAGCUCUUUUAACUCGGCCGGUGCCAUUCGAUAGGGCGGCAAAGAAAUAGGUGUUGUACCCGGUAUCACGUCAAUACAGAAUUCUAUCUCUCUAUUGGGCGGCAAUCCAGGUAGUUCUUCUGGAAACACAUCAGGAAACUCGCAAACCACCGGAACGUCUUCGACGCAACCUUUCCUUGCAGAGGUAUCCCUAACCAAAGCCAAAUAUCCCUGACAUCCACGGCGAAGCAUCCGCCUAGCUGCAAUCGCUGACACGAGGUUCGAGGGAGAAGGUAUCUGCUCACCUUUAAAAUAGAACUCUGAGUCUCCAGGAAUUCGAAAAGUCACUUGUUUCUCCCUGCAGUCCAACAUGGCGAAAUGCAUAGCUAACCAAUCCAUUCCCAAUAUCACAUCAAAAUCCAUUACAUCUAAAAGAAUUAGGUCAGCAACCAAAUCUCGUCCCUCAACAGACACCGGACAGGACGGAUACACGACAUCAGUCUCUAAGGCCUUAACGGCGUAGUGACCGACAUUGGAAUUCGAAGCCUAACGGGCUGGACAUCCAAUCUUAAGGCAAAACUAGGCGAUACGAAAGAAUGGGUAGCCCCAGGGUCUAACAAAACUCUAGCCUCAGAAUGACAAACAAGAAUAGUACCUGACACCACAGCAUUUGAGGCUCGCGCAUCUUGAGGAGUAAGGGUAAACACUCUAGCUUGCCCCCGGCCUAACUGUUGAGACCCUGAAGCUCGACCUUGAACCCUGCCCCCAGACCGGCCUCCUGAAGAUCUACCUCCAAAACUACGGCCCUGCUGGCCAACAAACUGAGAUCCAUCUUGAAAAUGUCCCGGGGUUGCAGGAAAAGCUGGUCGGGUCGCACUAGCGGACGAGCCUUGUGGAAAAGCUGGUCGACUGAAAUAGCGAGGACACUCUCGAGCCAUAUGUCCCAUCUCACCACACCUAAAACAGGCUCCACUGGAUGUUAGGCACGGUCCCUGAUGUGACCUGCCACACAUCUGACAAGUGCUGCCCCAGAACUAGAGCUGCUGUAGCCUGAACUCUGCCCACUACCACUGAAGCCCUGACCAGGUCUGAAUCCUCGGCUACUCCUCCUAUUACGCCUACCCUUUCUGUGGAUGCGGUGACUUCUCUGCACGGCCUGCUGGUCGGUACCUCCAGAGUAACUUCCACUACCAUAGUACGGCACGACAGGCUGUGCACUGGACUGACCCUCAACCCUGGUUUUCUUCUUCCUACCAUCGUCAGUCCCUUGACUAAACCCUCGUAGCGUCAUCUCCAUCUGCCUCGCCAUGUCAGUAACUUCUAGGAAGCUGCUCCUCCUAGAUUGAACCAAAGAAACAAACUCUGGGCCGAGCCCUGAAAUGUAUUUGCUGUUCUUUUGGUCCUCAGUCCCCACAGCAUAAGGUGCAUACCUACUCAGCUGAACAAAUUGCCUGGUGUAUUCAGCCACAGAUGAUUCUCCCUUAACUAACCUUUCAAACCUCUCCCUGUACUCCUGCCUUACACUGAAAGGGAUGAAGUACUCUUCGAAUCUGUCUCUGAAUUGCCUCCACGACAACCCAUCCAGAAAAGGGCGGAUCUAAUCUCUGAACCACUGGGAUGCUAUUCCCUUCAAGGAAAACCCGGCCAUCUCGAUGGUCCUCCUGUCAAAAUAGUGCAAAUCAGACGCCCUCUUUUCAACCUCAUCCAAAAAGUCCAGAGGGUCUCCAGCUAUCCCAUCAAACUCCACAGGUCUUAACUUGGUAUACUCAGACAUAGGGACAUCGUCCGGAUUCCUGAUACCGGACCCACUAGCACGACUUCCUGCACCCUGAGCAGCCUGCUGCUACUGGAAGACUAGCAACUGCUCUAAGGCCCUCUGCAUCCCAGUCAUACUGGACACAAAAGCCUCCACUGGAAUUUCACCAGCACCAUGUACCUCCUGAGCCUCGCCCUGAUCUGGUUGGGCUGCUGCUCGAGGCCUACCUCGCCUUUUGGUACCAUGGGCGGGGUCCGGAGGAGCCGUCUGAGCAGAAAACUCAUCUUCGCCUUCCUGGGCCGAUGCUGCAGCUGCAGUCGCUCGGGUUCUCGGCAUUGGCAAGAGCUGAAAAUGAACAAGUUAUUAACCCAACAGACUCUCUAACGUAUAGCGCAGAUACUAGAAUCAAUGAAACAUGCAAGGACAGACUCAAUUUUUCCUAGUUCCCGCAAUAGUUUAGAAAGCUAACCUAGGUCGAAGGAAAAACUAAACCUAAGCUCUGAUACCAACUUUGUCACGACCCACUUUGGGGGCCCGUGACCGGCACUUGGGAAUGGGUAGGCUUAAGGCCACCGAAACCCGUAGUAAGCCUUACCAACCCGCAAAUCCAUAUAUACAAUUAACCAAAUAUGAAGUAGUCAUAAUUGUCUUGCAUAAUAAAUCAUCAUACUACCAACAGGAGUCAGAAAGCUAUAUAAAUUUUAAAAUUUCCUACUGCGGAUACUCUAGAGUAAAAAUGACAAGUAUAGAAGUACAAGAUAAUUACAAAAGUCCGAAGAAGAAGAAGUCGGACUGUCGAAUGUGCGAUGGCGAAGGUCUUUAACUAUCACCUGAAAAAAUUACAACUGAGACUGUCAGUCUCGAGAGUGAGUCAAAAUCAAAUAAUCUAAGGACUAUUGCAACCUUCACAUGAUAUAUUAAUUAUUCAGAACAAUAUACCAAUUUCUGAAUAUAAUUGCAAUCAUAAUAUAUAAUCAUACACCAUAAUAAUAAAAUGAUAAAAGAAGAGAGUGUAAAUAAAUAAAGACAUUUUUACUUUCACGGGACGUGUGGCUAAGUAGAACCCUAACCCCAAAUUCUAACAGCCAUUUUGGCUCUCUUAAUCCAAAUAAGACUGGCGCCCCGAGAGCAAUGCUCGACCAGGGACCUUACCUCCAGUCUGGUCACUUAAGUAUCCAAAUAAGAAAUCUAGUAGCCAUUCGGCUCUCUUAAUCCAAUAAGACUGGCGCCCCGAGAGCAAUGCUCGACCAGGGACCUUACCUCCAGUCUGGUCACUUAAGUAUCCAAAUAAGAAAUCUAGUAGCCAUUCGGCUCUCUUAAUCCAAUAAGACUGGCGCCCCGAGAGCAAUGCUCGACCAGGGACCUUACCUCUAGUCUGGUCACUUAAGUAUCCAAAUAAGCCGGCGCCCCGAGAGCAAUGCUCGACCAGGGACCUUACCUCCGGCAAUUUACACAAAUCAGCCCAGAAAGCCAUGCUCGACCAGGGCAAACCCAUAAAUAUCUUAUUACAUGUCCAUGAUCAUUACCGGUGCGCACGCGGUCCUGAUGUAACCCAUCAGGCGGCAUGUUCUACAAGCCACGUUUCCCAAGACACAAUCAUCACAUAUAAUAAAUAUCAUUAUCUGAUGAACUCAUCCAACACAUAUCGAAAUAAAGAUUAAAGAUUUAAGAUAAAACAACGUGCAAUUUGUGAGGGGAAAAAUAAUAACGUUUGUCUUAUUAUAACAUACUAAUAAUAAUAUUUAUAUUAUUUCAAAUAUUAAUAAUCAAGUGAAAUCAUUUAUUUUGCGAUACUAGUAAUCAUAUUAAGCACAAAUUCUAAAUAGCAUAUUAAAAUCAGACUAGCAAUAGCGCAAAGAUUAAAUGACUUUAACUCACAGAUUUGAUGCGUUCCACAGUCCGCUCCUACGCCUCGGGUGGAGCUGGCGGGAAGGCUGAAUUAUCUAAUAACAAAAAACAUACAAUUAAUAGACAUUCAAAAAUUCUUCCUAAACUUAGACCCUAAGGUCGACUGCCUAGAAUUUAAUUGGACUCAAGGAAUCUACCGAAAGUUUGACAGAACCUCCCCUAAAUUUCGGAUAUUUACCCCCCGUAAAACGGGUCCAGGACCUUCCAAAAACAUAUCAAACAUGCUGGAAUUUAAUAACAGGAGCCGGGCCACAAGAACUGCAUUAAUAUUUUCCCGACUCCAAACACCACAAUCCAAACAAUUUAAUUUGAUUUAUUUUUAAACUACCCAACACAAGCAAUUAAUAGCCACAAUAACUUUCUAAUAUUAUAACAAAAUUUUGAGAGUCUAAAAUGAAAUUAUACCGAGUUAAAAAUUGAAAUAUUUCACGCGUCCGAAAAACACUGGGGUCCGGAAGCCGGUCCUGCCAACAGUGUCGGAAUUCGAAUCCGGAAGCGCCUACGCGAAGCUCAAGUUGCGAGGAGUCCAGAAGUACAAGAGUUUUGGUCGGAAAGUGGCCGGAAGGCGGCGGAUCGGGGCCGGAAAGUCACUGCUCACGCGACACUUUCCAUGGCUGCAGGCAAGGAUUUUCCGAGGAAGGAGGGUGGCUUCCGGGGUUUUCGGGGGUGGGGAGUCCGAUCCCGGCGUCUGAUCGCCGAAAACAAGCCGGCAAGAGGCCGAACGGCGAAGACAGCUCCUUACCUUCGGCCAACGUCGGCGGUAGCGGAGAGGAAAGACGCUGGCGAUAGCGGCGGCAGCUUGGCGGCUCGCAGGAGACGAAAACGUGAGGCAACGGUGGCUGCCGGAGGGAGAAGGAAAAAGAGGAGAAG
rnacentral:lncRNA from 1 species